UGGGGAAUAUUGCACAAUGGGCGCAAGCCUGAUGCAGCCAUGCCGCGUGUGUGAAGAAGGCCUUCGGGUUGUAAAGCACUUUCAGCGGGGAGGAAGGCGGUGAGGUUAAUAACCUCAUCGAUUGACGUUACCCGCAGAAGAAGCACCGGCUAACUCCGUGCCAGCAGCCGCGGUAAUACGGAGGGUGCAAGCGUUAAUCGGAAUUACUGGGCGUAAAGCGCACGCAGGCGGUCUGUCAAGUCGGAUGUGAAAUCCCCGGGCUCAACCUGGGAACUGCAUUCGAAACUGGCAGGCUAGAGUCUUGUAGAGGGGGGUAGAAUUCCAGGUGUAGCGGUGAAAUGCGUAGAGAUCUGGAGGAAUACCGGUGGCGAAGGCGGCCCCCUGGACAAAGGCUGACGCUCAGGUGCGAAAGCGUGGGGAGCAAACAGG
rnacentral:rRNA from 1 species